rnacentral:rRNA from 1 species
GGCGAACGGGUGAGUAAUGCAUCGGAACGUGCCCAGUAGUGGGGGAUAGCUCGGCGAAAGCCGGAUUAAUACCGCAUACGCACUACGGUGGAAAGCGGGGGACCGAAAGGCCUCGCGCUAUUGGAGCGGCCGAUGUCGGAUUAGCUUGUUGGUGGGGUAAAAGCCUACCAAGGCGACGAUCCGUAGCUGGUCUGAGAGGACGACCAGCCACACUGGGACUGAGACACGGCCCAGACUCCUACGGGAGGCAGCAGUGGGGAAUUUUGGACAAUGGGCGAAAGCCUGAUCCAGCAAUGCCGCGUGUGUGAAGAAGGCCUUCGGGUUGUAAAGCACUUUUGGCGGGAACGAAACAGCGCUUGCUAAUACCGAGCGCGAAUGACGGUACCCGCAGAAUAAGCACCGGCUAACUACGUGCCAGCAGCCGCGGUAAGACGUAGGGUGCAAGCGUUAAUCGGAAUUACUGGGCGUAAAGCGUGCGCAGGCGGUUUUGUAAGACAGAUGUGAAAUCCCCGGGCUCAACCUGGGAACUGCAUUUGUGACUGC